rnacentral:lncRNA from 7 species
ACUGAUUCUGUAGGUAUUUGCAACUGAUGUUGUGUGAUUUUAAAGUGAAAGGGCAUCACAGGCCUGAAGUGAAAUUGCUUCCGACCAUUGUUUAAAGAAAACCUUGAAAAUAUGAAGGGAGGACAACCUGGUUAAGCGAGGCUCAGAAAAGCAGGAGGGAGACUUUACAUUUAUUCUUCAGAUGAAGACUCAAAGUCUCAAGUUUUUUAAAGGAAUAUUAGGAUUCUUUCGGUUAAUCAAAACAGGAAUUGAAUUGGGGCAUAGCUACUCAAGUAACAUCAUGUCUGCACUGUGAACAAUGGGAAUUCUGGCUGUAAAAGAAGAUGGAUGUUGCCCAGGAACAUGGGAAACUCAGUAAUUCACAGAGCGACUGAAUCAGGAUGACUGUAAAGGAGAAAAUUCUGGUUCUCAUAUUUUUCCUUCUUUGCUUCAGAAGUUUAUGGUGAAAAGAGUGGAAAGUAGUGUGGCUGUUAUCUUGAUUCAUCACCAGACUUUAGUACAAUAUCAAUUAUUAAUGAAUUUUGCACCAAGUGUAAAUGGAAGCCAACAAAGAAGAGAAUAACAUGAGAAAAAGUCCCAAUCGUGUUUUUCAGAUGUCAGUAUACAACAGGCUAUAUACUCUUCCAGUAGUCUAAAUGGUUGAUGAACUGGGAUCAAGCUGGAAACCUGAGUAUUUUUUUGAGGGACUUUUUGCUGCCUGUUGCUUUUAAGAGGCUGAAAGGCAAAUUAAAAGGUUUUUUUUGGACUAUAAACAGAGCUAGCUGGAACCUCGAAUAUUUGAGGGGAUCCUUGCAGUCCCAUGCCAUCUGCUGUUUAGGGCACUGAGAAAGUGCUGUUAUUCCUGCUGGACAAGAUAUGCAUACAGUCAUGUUUGUUGUAUCUCCUGUGUUUUCUUCCCUAAUUUCUGCCCAUAUAUUUUUUGCUUUGUCUAUCCUUUGCAUGUUCCCUGGAGUUAUUUGGUGUAACAGUAACUGUUCAGACUUCAUUCCUAACAUAGCAUGUAGACUUCAAGUAACUUCAUAUAAAAAUUCUCCAGG